AACGAACGCUGGCGGCAGGCCUAAAACAUGCAAGUCGAACGGGUGUAGCAAUACAUCAGUGGCGCACGGGUGAGUAACGCGUGGGAACGUGCCCUUCAGUACGGGACAACGUCGGGAAACUGACGCUAAUACCGUAUAAUGACUCCGGUCCAAAGAUUUAUCGCUGAAGGAGCGGCCCGCGUCUGAUUAGCUAGUUGGUGAGGUAAUGGCUCACCAAGGCUACGAUCAGUAGCAGGUCUGAGAGGAUGAUCUGCCACACUGGGACUGAGACACGGCCCAGACUCCUACGGGAGGCAGCAGUUAGGAAUAUUGGACAAUGGGCGAAAGCCUGAUCCAGCCAUGCCGCGUGUGUGAUGAAGGCCUCGGUUGU
rnacentral:rRNA from 1 species